UGAGCAAUCUGCCCUUCUCAUCGGAAUAAGCGUUGGAAACGACGUCUAAUGCCGAAUACGACCUCCUUUCGCAUGAUCGGAGGUGGAAAGCUCCGGCGGAGAAGGAUGAGUUCGCGGCCUAUCAGCUAGUUGGUGUGGGUAAUGGCCCACCAAGGCGACGACGGGUAGCUGGUCUGAGAGGACGACCAGCCACACUGGAACUGAGAUACGGUCCAGACUCCGUAGGAGG
rnacentral:rRNA from 1 species